GGGUUGUGAGGUUAAGCGACUAAGCGUACACGGUGGAUGCCCUGGCAGUCAGAGGCGAUGAAGGACGUGCUAAUCUGCGAUAAGCGUCGGUAAGGUGAUAUGAACCGUUAUAACCGGCGAUUUCCGAAUGGGGAAACCCAGUGUGUUUCGACACACUAUCAUUAACUGAAUCCAUAGGUUAAUGAGGCGAACCGGGGGAACUGAAACAUCUAAGUACCCCGAGGAAAAGAAAUCAACCGAGAUUCCCCCAGUAGCGGCGAGCGAACGGGGAGGAGCCCAGAGCCUGAAUCAGUGUGUGUGUUAGUGGAAGCGUCUGGAAAGGCGCGCGAUACAGGGUGACAGCCCCGUACACAAAAAUGCACAUGCUGUGAGCUCGAUGAGUAGGGCGGGACACGUGGUAUCCUGUCUGAAUAUGGGGGGACCAUCCUCCAAGGCUAAAUACUCCUGACUGACCGAUAGUGAACCAGUACCGUGAGGGAAAGGCGAAAAGAACCCCGGCGAGGGGAGUGAAAAAGAACCUGAAACCGUGUACGUACAAGCAGUGGGAGCACGCUUAGGCGUGUGACUGCGUACCUUUUGUAUAAUGGGUCAGCGACUUAUAUUCUGUAGCAAGGUUAACCGAAUAGGGGAGCCGAAGGGAAACCGAGUCUUAACUGGGCGUUAAGUUGCAGGGUAUAGACCCGAAACCCGGUGAUCUAGCCAUGGGCAGGUUGAAGGUUGGGUAACACUAACUGGAGGACCGAACCGACUAAUGUUGAAAAAUUAGCGGAUGACUUGUGGCUGGGGGUGAAAGGCCAAUCAAACCGGGAGAUAGCUGGUUCUCCCCGAAAGCUAUUUAGGUAGCGCCUCGUGAAUUCAUCUCCGGGGGUAGAGCACUGUUUCGGCAAGGGGGUCAUCCCGACUUACCAACCCGAUGCAAACUGCGAAUACCGGAGAAUGUUAUCACGGGAGACACACGGCGGGUGCUAACGUCCGUCGUGAAGAGGGAAACAACCCAGACCGCCAGCUAAGGUCCCAAAGUCAUGGUUAAGUGGGAAACGAUGUGGGAAGGCCCAGACAGCCAGGAUGUUGGCUUAGAAGCAGCCAUCAUUUAAAGAAAGCGUAAUAGCUCACUGGUCGAGUCGGCCUGCGCGGAAGAUGUAACGGGGCUAAACCAUGCACCGAAGCUGCGGCAGCGACGCUUAUGCGUUGUUGGGUAGGGGAGCGUUCUGUAAGCCUGCGAAGGUGUGCUGUGAGGCAUGCUGGAGGUAUCAGAAGUGCGAAUGCUGACAUAAGUAACGAUAAAGCGGGUGAAAAGCCCGCUCGCCGGAAGACCAAGGGUUCCUGUCCAACGUUAAUCGGGGCAGGGUGAGUCGACCCCUAAGGCGAGGCCGAAAGGCGUAGUCGAUGGGAAACAGGUUAAUAUUCCUGUACUUGGUGUUACUGCGAAGGGGGGACGGAGAAGGCUAUGUUGGCCGGGCGACGGUUGUCCCGGUUUAAGCGUGUAGGCUGGUUUUCCAGGCAAAUCCGGAAAAUCAAGGCUGAGGCGUGAUGACGAGGCACUACGGUGCUGAAGCAACAAAUGCCCUGCUUCCAGGAAAAGCCUCUAAGCAUCAGGUAACAUCAAAUCGUACCCCAAACCGACACAGGUGGUCAGGUAGAGAAUACCAAGGCGCUUGAGAGAACUCGGGUGAAGGAACUAGGCAAAAUGGUGCCGUAACUUCGGGAGAAGGCACGCUGAUAUGUAGGUGAAGUCCCUCGCGGAUGGAGCUGAAAUCAGUCGAAGAUACCAGCUGGCUGCAACUGUUUAUUAAAAACACAGCACUGUGCAAACACGAAAGUGGACGUAUACGGUGUGACGCCUGCCCGGUGCCGGAAGGUUAAUUGAUGGGGUUCAGCGCAAGCGAAGCUCUUGAUCGAAGCCCCGGUAAACGGCGGCCGUAACUAUAACGGUCCUAAGGUAGCGAAAUUCCUUGUCGGGUAAGUUCCGACCUGCACGAAUGGCGUAAUGAUGGCCAGGCUGUCUCCACCCGAGACUCAGUGAAAUUGAAACUCGCUGUGAAGAUGCAGUGUACCCGCGGCAAGACGGAAAGACCCCGUGAACCUUUACUAUAGCUUGACACUGAACAUUGAGCCUUGAUGUGUAGGAUAGGUGGGAGGCUUGGAAGUGUGGACGCCAGUCUGCAUGGAGCCGACCUUGAAAUACCACCCUUUAAUGUUUGAUGUUCUAACGUUGACCCGUAAUCCGGGUUGCGGACAGUGUCUGGUGGGUAGUUUGACUGGGGCGGUCUCCUCCUAAAGAGUAACGGAGGAGCACGAAGGUUGGCUAAUCCUGGUCGGACAUCAGGAGGUUAGUGCAAUGGCAUAAGCCAGCUUGACUGCGAGCGUGACGGCGCGAGCAGGUGCGAAAGCAGGUCAUAGUGAUCCGGUGGUUCUGAAUGGAAGGGCCAUCGCUCAACGGAUAAAAGGUACUCCGGGGAUAACAGGCUGAUACCGCCCAAGAGUUCAUAUCGACGGCGGUGUUUGGCACCUCGAUGUCGGCUCAUCACAUCCUGGGGCUGAAGUAGGUCCCAAGGGUAUGGCUGUUCGCCAUUUAAAGUGGUACGCGAGCUGGGUUUAGAACGUCGUGAGACAGUUCGGUCCCUAUCUGCCGUGGGCGCUGGAGAACUGAGGGGGGCUGCUCCUAGUACGAGAGGACCGGAGUGGACGCAUCACUGGUGUUCGGGUUGUCAUGCCAAUGGCACUGCCCGGUAGCUAAAUGCGGAAGAGAUAAGUGCUGAAAGCAUCUAAGCACGAAACUUGCCCCGAGAUGAGUUCUCCCUGACUCCUUGAGAGUCCUGAAGGAACGUUGAAGACGACGACGUUGAUAGGCCGGGUGUGUAAGCGCAGCGAUGCGUUGAGCUAACCGGUACUAAUGAACCGUGAGGCUUAACCUUACAACGCCGAAG
rnacentral:rRNA from 1 species